AUUGAACGCUGGCGGCAGGCCUAACACAUGCAAGUCGAGCGAGCGGCGGACGGGUGAGUAAUGUAUGGGGACUGCCCGAUAGAGGGGGAUAACUACUGGACACGGUGGCUACUACCGCAUACUAUAGGAUAAACCAUAGUGGAUUAGAUAGUAGGUGGGGUAAAGGCUAACCUUGGCGACACUCUCUAGCUGGUCUGAGAGGAUGAUCAGCCACACUGGGACUGAGACACGGCCCAGACUCAUACGGAGGCAGCAGUGGGGAAUAUUGCACAAUGGGCGCAAGCCUUAUGCAGCCAGGCCGCGUGUAUGAAGAAGGCCUUAGGGUUGUAAAGUACUUUCAGCGGGGAGGCGUGACCCGCAGAAGAAGCACCGGCUAACUCCGUGCCAGCAGCCGCGGUAAUAC
rnacentral:rRNA from 1 species